rnacentral:lncRNA from 1 species
CUUUGUAACAUAAGGCACUUGUGUCUAUCUGCCAUGAAUAUACUGCAAAUGCUCCAAAAAAUGCAGAAGGCCUGAAGAAAUUAGAUAUACAGCUCUCUGCUUGAAGUGCGUCAGCCACACUCAGUGAGUGAGUGAAACACACACACAAGCACACAUUUUUAUCAAAUAAUACGCCAUUAAUAAAGAUUAAUUUCAACAAUUUGGUACGUUUACAUUUAUUUCAGCAGCAAACCGUACCAGAGUUCACUUGAACUGUACACCAGACCACCCUUUUUAAGCAGACUUGGGUACAGUUCGUGGGUGCGCACCCAAGUUCAGAAGACAGCAUUCAUAUUAUCAAAAUAUACCAAACUUUGAUUGACGUCAAUCAAACCCGGGUGUGACACCAAAGUGCCAGUCUAAAAGCAAUCUUACAUACUGCACCUUUAAUCAUUCAAUUUAAUUUCACAAUUGUUGGAAUAUCUUCCAAAAUUAUGCAUAAGUAAUGUCAAAAGCAUUUAGAAAAUUUGCAUAGAGUUGUGUUGUCAUUUUUUAGCAAACCUAUCUAAAUGACAGGUUUAUGCAAUGUUUAUUUUUAUAGUCUUUAAUGACUAAUGAUUUAAUAAAUUUUUUUGCAUUCUCAGAUUUAAAACAUGCUGCUGAUCAAAGUUAGAUAUCAGGACUGCAGGAAAUUUAUCAGACUUCAGGAUGGAUUCACUUUUGCAGAUUUUGUUAAUGAAGUCCACUAUAGGUUUGGCUUACCACCUGAGACAAAUCUACACAUUUAUGACGACACUGAAACUGAGAUAGACGAGGACAUUUUACAAGAUGUGCUCAUUGCGAGACCUGAUACAUCGCUUAUUAUUGUUAGAAGAGAGAAUGAAGAAAUGUUUUCAGAUGCAACAAGCAGCUCUUGGACCGACAUUUUGUCACUUAGUCAUUCAUCAUAUGAACUUGACCAAAUGCCAGAACACCCUUACAAGAAAUCUAAGACAAAUGAUGCAGCAGCUGAGGCAAAAGAGGUUACUUGGUCAUUUACAUUUAGUAUGUUUUAAUUUAAAAAAAAUUUUUUUUCAAUUUUGAUGUAUAAUGUUUUUUUUUGUUGUUUUGUUUUUGUAAGUAAAAACCAUGGUUUUCAUAAGGGAGGAGCCAUAAAUUAAUUUAGGUUCGCUUAACAAUGUCCUUAUGUCCUUUGAUGAGAAUGGUGGAGCAAGAUGCAAAACCUCACCGAAAUAUCUCACACCCAUUUAUCCAAAUCCCAGGACCAUACACAUUACAGCGAAUCACCAAAGACUUGCCAAGUGCUCUAACGUGCCUCGAGAGAAUACCUGAAGGACAUACCUGCAGAUCUUUAGGGCAGAUAUACUGUAGAAAUCACUUACUCAGAAUUAAAUGGAGGCUUAAGUUAUGCUUGGGGAAAAGCUAAUGAUCCUCAGGUCUUUGGUGCUGUUCACCUUUCUGAUUUUUAGUUCACACAAGUGGGCACCGCAGAGUCAAAUUCAUUUUCAUACUAAUUU